UUUAUUAUUGUUGUACGUAGCUUUGUGUUGUUGUAAAUCAUGGUGUCGAUUGGUUUCCUCACCGCCACCGCUUCAAUCGACCUGUAAAACCUAAAAAAGAGAGAUUCACAUCCAGUUGAUCAACACCGACGUUCCUUCCCGGUCUUAACAUCACCACUACCAUCCAUCGCGUCAGUCCGUCACCUCCACCAUUCCCCUCUCCUCUCUAUCUCUUCCCUCUGUGAAACUACGACCACCAUCUUUGCCAUCUCCGAUAGCCGCUGUAAACAACCCAGCCCUGAAGUACCGAAAUUGUAAAAUCGGUUAUUGUUAGCGGUGAUUUAAAGUCGACGCCAUCGAUUUCGCUUGCGGAUACGUUGUACAAUCUGCAGUUUUGUUGAUGUUUUCCUGUCAUUGGGUAGCUUAGGCGGUGGAAGACAUAUAAGCCCAUCGAGACAUGCUUCAUAGUCCUCCUUCAUACGAAAACCCUACACCAUCAUUCUUUUCCACACACAGAGGCCUGGAUAGAGAGAGAUUGGAGAAAGAGAGUGGCAGCUACCGUUUCACCUACGACCUGGGCGAUGGUGGUGUUAUCACAGGGCAGCGACGUCUGCGAGUUGAAGGGGGUUUACGGUGGGGCUUUUUGUGGCUAAUCUCGAAGGUUACGGGAUUGAGAACGGGUCAGGAAAUGGGUCAUCAGUAGCUAACGGAUCAUGGUCAUAGAACUGGUCUAGGAUUGACCAAGUUUCAAGGAACUGAAUGUGUGGUUGGCCCGAGUAAACAAAAGAGUGUGCAAUUUAGUGUGAGAAAACCAUAAGGUGUUUACGAGAGAGCUCAAAGAAUUGAAGAUGCCGAGUGUGGGAUACGAACAAAAUCCAUUGAGUUUGUAUUAUUACCAUGAUGUAGAAGGAUCCAACAGAUAAGCACUAAGGUUACAGAAUGUUGUGGGGAGAACGAGUACAAUUCCUUUUCAACCCGAACUCAUAUGCAGUUGCUAAACCGCUUCUUAUUAGCCAUUUCAUGGGAGGAGCCGAACUACUUUGCAUAUUUCAAAGUACGAUGGUUGUCCUCUCCUAAGAUGUUGGGCUGGUAUUGCUAUUGGUUUUGUGUUGAUAGUGAAGGUGAAAGAGUCCGGCAAUGGUGGGAUAAAGAAAGAAGGUGAAGCUCAAAAUGGUUUUUGGUGCUUGAAUCCAGCAGAUUAAAGACGUCGAUUUGGUUCGCGGAUUAAAGACGUUGAUUUGGCCCACAGGUAAAUCGAAACUGAUGUUUUUAUCACUUCGUCUAUCUUCGUCUGAUGAAACAAAAGGUAAUCAGAACCAUGCUGAUUUGAUCGAUUUCGUGUUGUCUUGGAUACUUUCCUAUAUAUUUCCCAUUGCUUUUGCUAUCAGUUCGUCUUAGAUUUAUAUCAUAAAAGUUAUAUAAAAUUGUGUAAUGAACACUGAAGAUUUGAUUGAUUUUCAUGUGCAGAAUACCUCUCUACCUUAUGUUAGCAUGCACAUAUACAGUUCAUAACUUGUAAUUGUUGGGUAGUAUGGUUUUGUUUAUUAUAUAUUUUUUUCCUUUUUUUGCUUCCCCUCGGCUGCGGGUGCUAUAUGUUGACCCGGCCGCAACGCGCCGGGUGCUACUACUAGUUCCUAUAAAUCUAUAAUUGCCAUUUGCCUUGCCGACUGCCGUAACAUAAACAACAGCAACUUUAUCAAAACUCAAAAGAGGACCUUAUCAAAAAUCUACGGCGAGAUGAAAGGUCGGUUGGUCGCUGCAAGCCUGCAACAGAGGACCUUAUCGAAGCCUGGUCUGAGUAAUUCUUGGUCGCUGCAAGCCUGCAACAGAGAGGGGAGGGCGGGAAAGAUGAAAGAAUUUUCCAAGAGGUGCGGUCGAAAUUUUCUAAGGGGUGCGGUCGGGAUUUUUCGCGAAAAAUAACACUAAUUUUUUUUUUCAAGGGGUGUGGCCGCCCACCCACGGGCUAAAGUAGGUCCCCGCCCAUGGCUUUAGACAGAGCUCGAAACAAGCUGAGUCAAGGAUGCUUCUUGAUCCUGAGUUAGUUAUAGAAGAUAUUAGUUAAGAUCAUGCUCGCAAAACAGGUAGGGAAGAAUGACGAUGCCACUUAGUCCGAUAGCACAUGCACAAAAGAGGCCAUUUGGCAGUGAUAUACAGAUUGUUAAGUCAGCAUUGUAUGCAUUGUCUCGUAGUGGCGGUAGCAGCAUCACUCAUGGCAUUUGACGGUGCAUUCUACCAUGCUCCUCGCAGAAGUUAGAUGCGGCUGCAAAGCAGGCAAUUGCAAUCCAGAGAAGACCUUGCUUCUUCACUUUCUAACCCGACCCACAAUUAAUUUGGUUUUAUUAUUUGACAAUAAAGAUUCCUAUACAUAAAGGAGUGUUAAGGUGGUGUGAUCGGCUAGGGUGCAAAAACAUUUUCUACACUUGGAGAUGGUGGAAAUUGAGUGUCAAAAAUGGGCAAGUAAAGGUAUAAACAUACACUACCAGGUUAGGGACAAUCGAAAGGGAUAUAAAGCCGGAGCACUCAAAGAAGGUCUAAAGCAUCCCUAUGCUAAUGAAUGUCAAAUCAUUUUUAAUGCGAUCUCUUGCUCUCUCGGUUGACCUUCAUUGUUCAUCAUGUUACAUUUUUUAUGGGCAAACUGCAUAGAUAGGUAAUCAGGCCAAUGAACUUUAUCAAUUGGCGCCUGUAGCUUUCUGCUUGAUAGUCGCAUUGGUGAAGUUAUGAGCGACACAGGUCAAACAAGAUAUGUGAUUCAAGAUACGGGUCAUGAUAGCGACGACGAUAUAAGCCAACUGCCGGAUUGUAUUCUUCAUCGUAUUCUCUCAUUUAUUCCCACCAAAGACGUUGUGAAAACUGCCAUACUUUUAAAAAAAUGGAACAUCGUUUGGACUUCUGUUUCAAACCUAGAUUUCGACGACGCAUUGUUGUAGCAUAACGAGGCAGACACUCGGGACCUACCUGACGAAACUUGCUUCAUAAACUUCAUAGAACGCGUUCUCUCGUUACGUGAUGCAUCAAACAUCAAGAACGAGUUUAUCAUGUCGCGUUUUCUUUAACACCUCGUGCAUACAUUCGUGGAUUUCUUCUGCUAUCAUGCACAAUGUCCAGACACUCGAUCUCUGUCUCUUUGCCGAUGAUUCGUUUGUGCACCCGAGCUCCGUGUUUUGUAGUCAAACGUUGACCAGUUUGAAACUACAAAUGAAUUGUGUUCUUGAAUUCCCGACUGUCAUCUAUCUCCCAUAUUUGAAAACCUUGCAUUUAUCUCUCGCUACAUUCGUGAACGACGGCUCAACACAACCGUGGACCAGAAAUUGAAAGUCAAAGUGCGAUUUCUUGAGAUCUUUCAAGAUGAAAAUUGCCCUGUUGAAUUUGGGUAUAAGUCUAAGGUAGUUCUGUUAUUUUAGGAAAAUUGAAAGAGUUGAAGUAUGUCUUUUUGGGAUGUAUGUUCAAAAACUUGGAGCAGAGUAUGAGCAGCCAAAUCAUUUUCGUACAUUGGGCAUCUUUGAAAUCCUGGGACAACUCGUUAGAUCUUGUUAAUGUUCUUAACCAUGAGAUUAAGGACAAGCAUUUAAAAGCUUUAGAGGCAAAAGGGUGCUCAAGGUAUAUAAUGUUUUUUUGGGGCUAAAUUGCACUUUUCGUCCUUUAUGUUUUAGAGUUUCUGCAGGCGCUGUCCUUUAAGUUUAAAAAUUACACUCUAUGUCCUUUAUGUUUGCAACCUAUAACGGGCGGUGUCCUUUCUCAUAAACUCAGUUAAUUUUUUUUUUGUUAAAACCCCUCUUUGUAAAACUCUAUAACAACAGGGACCAUAUGUGUCAAGGGACCUGUUGUGUAAAACCCCUCUUUGUAAAACUUUAAUAAAUCAAGGGACCUGUUGUGUAAAUUCCGAAAAUUUUGAAUAUGUAUCUUGUUCGCCAA